GUUCCUCUUACUGUUUACUGUGUUGAUUUUCUUCAUCAGCACGAUGUUUUAUAAAAUCAACCCAAAACCCAAAUUCACUGCUGCAUGUGGAGGAGACUUGUUGUUAAUGACGGAUUUUAUAAAAAGAAAACACCUAACGUGAUGUAAAUGACAUGGACACCAACCAUUAUAAGAUAAUACAACCUUAUAAGGAGGCCUUUAUAUGAAACACCAAAGUGUGUUUCUGUCAGAAACUGUCAGAUCUUCUCAGAGCAAAGUGAACUGGUGAAGGAGGGGAGGAGGGCAGAUCAUCACUAAUCAAUCUUGGUCCUGUCGGACUGCUAAAAUAAUAAAAAAUAAGAAUGCUCAAACGAUGUUCAAACGAAUACAUGUCUUUAGAUUUAUUUUAUGGCUAACAUACAUGAAGACCUAAAAUUCAGGAUCCCAAAAAACUAAAAGGUAACUGGUUAUAAACUAACUCUCUUCAUUGUUAUUUUUCUCUUUCUGUCUAGUAGUAAUUUUUAUAUGACAGAAAAAGUACUGAUAUAUUAUUUAUGUCUUUCAGGUUUGAAAAUGUAUGCAUAUGUGCGAUACAUUGCUGACAAUGUCCGCAACACAACGUGUCCACAAAAGAAUCCGAAAAUUUCCAUCCCCGAAAUCUGGAUGACUUCAAUGCCAAGAAGCGGAAUAAAACCCUCUGGAGAAGGACCCCAGAGGAAAGCGGUUCUUAUUAUUAUGGGAAAAUUUUACAAUUGGCAGGGAUCCUGAAACAAUCUCUCCCCCAGUCUGAAGAAACAGGUCUGGAAGGAGCUGACGUGAUCACCCCAGAGCUGGACGAAGAAGGAAAAUUUUAUAGAUCAAACUUGGCCCAGGAGUUUCCCUGAACAAGGAGAAAUGGCAGAGGGUGCAGGAGGCAAAAUCAAACUCCCAAUUCUGCAAGUCGUUGGCAGUUUGAGGGAGAGAAGCAUCACAGGGGCCAAAUGAAACGUGGUCAAAGACUCUGUCCACAAGCGUCCCCUGACCCCAGAAAAAGUGGCUGUCAUAAGAGGUAAGUACAGAGCCUUGUGAAAGUAUUCGGCCCCCUU